rnacentral:rRNA from 1 species
UACGUAGGGGGCAAGCGUUGUCCGGAUUUACUGGGCGUAAAGAGCGUGUAGGCGGCCACGCAGGUCCGUUGUGAAAUCCCGAGGCUCAACCUCGGGUCUGCAGUCGAUACGAGCAAACUAGAGUGUUGCAGGGGAGACUGGAAUUCCUGGUGUAGCGGUGAAAUGCGCAGAUAUCUGGAGGAACACCGGUGGCGAAGGCGGUUCUCUGGGCAUGUCCUGACGCUGAGGAGCGAAAGCGUGGGGAGCGAACAGG